UCUCUCGAUUGCAUCACUAUAUAUACAGGACCUACAAUACAUAUUCUCUCGUCAAUCCCUUGUAACAAGCGCCAUUGUUGUAUUGCAUUACGAUGGACAAGUACAUGCCACCUAUCUGUGCGUCAGUCCUGCUGUUGUCCCUACUUCUUCUCAUAUGCAUUCCUACUCCUACACUAUGUCAAAUUAUGGAUGGCAUGGACAAUCGUAAAGUCAGUUUACCAAAUGGGUUGUGCGUCCAUAAAGAAAAGGUUCAUGCCUGCCACGUUAACCGAAAGUGCUACUGUUGUGAUGUGACCAACUUGUGCUAUCUGACAAUCGAUUUAUGCAAGAAAAAUUGUUGAGGUUUGGCAUGUAUAGUGGCGAUGACAACCCAUCUAUUUGUUACCCUUCCUCCGUUCCCGUCAAAUUUAGCUUUUGUUUGAAGAAAUAAUAUGUGAUAUCAAAGAUGUAUCUGCAAGAAAAAUAAUAUCCCAUUUAUCGUUUGAUUGGUGAUGGUGUUGCAAGUAAACUUUGGGCAGCACUAA